GCUCAGGAUGAACGCUGGCGGCGUGCUUAACACAUGCAAGUCGAACGGGGAACAUUUUAUUGAAGCUUCGGCAGAUUUAGCUUGUUUCUAGUGGCGGACGGGUGAGUAACGCGUGGGUAACCUGCCUUAUACUGGGGGAUAACAGCCAGAAAUGACUGCUAAUACCGCAUAAGCGCACAGAACCGCAUGGUUCGGUGUGAAAAACUCCGGUGGUAUAAGAUGGACCCGCGUUGGAUUAGCUAGUUGGCAGGGUAGCGGCCUACCAAGGCGACGAUCCAUAGCCGGCCUGAGAGGGUGAACGGCCACAUUGGGACUGAGACACGGCCCAGACUCCUACGGGAGGCAGCAGUA
rnacentral:rRNA from 1 species